rnacentral:lncRNA from 1 species
GCUGAUUGAUACUUUAGUCUUUAGAAACAGAUUUUUUUACAAGUUGUUAUUGACUUUGAACUAGCUGUCAGUAACUGCCAGUAAAUACAAUACAAGUUCAGUCCUAAUCAACUGAUUUUCAUAGUUCAACUUCAUAUAUGGUACUGUUAAAUCGUUGUCCCAGGUUAGAAGGGGGUUUGGCGCUGGCCAACAUGUUUAAGCCCACCA